rnacentral:rRNA from 1 species
GAAGGAAUAUUGGACAAUGGGCGAAAGCCUGAUCCAGCAAUACCGCGUGAAUGAUGAAGGCCUUAGGGUUGUAAAGUUCUUUUAGUAGGGAAGAUAAUGACGGUACCUACAGAAAAAGCCCCGGCUAACUCCGUGCCAGCAGCCGCGGUAAGACGGAGGGGGCUAGCGUUGUUCGGAAUUACUGGGCGUAAAGGGCGCGUAGGCGGAUUAGUAAGUUGGAAGUGAAAUCCCGGGGCUUAACCUCGGAAUUGCUUUCAAAACUACUAGUCUAGAGUGAAGUAGGGGAUGAUGGAAUUUCUAGUGUAGAGGUGAAAUUCUUAGAUAUUAGAAGGAACACCGGUGGCGAAGGCGAUCAUCUGGGCUUCUACUGACGCUGAGGCGCGAAAGCGUGGGGAGCAAA